UACGGAAGGCAGCAGUGGGGAAUAUUGCACAAUGGGCGCAAGCCUGAUGCAGCCAUGCCGCGUGUAUGAAGAAGGCCUUCGGGUUGUAAAGUACUUUCAGUCGUGAGGAAGGUGUUAAGGUUAAUAACCUUAGCAAUUGACGUUAGCGACAGAAGAAGCACCGGCUAACUCCGUGCCAGCAGCCGCGGUAAUACGGAGGGUGCGAGCGUUAAUCGGAAUUACUGGGCGUAAAGGGCACGCAGGCGGUUAAUUAAGUUGGAUGUGAAAUCCCCGGGCUUAACCUGGGAAUGGCAUUCAAGACUGGUUAGCUAGAGUCUUGUAGAGGGGGUUAGAAUUCCAUGUGUAGCGGUGAAAUGCGUAGAGAUGUGGAGGAAUACCGGUGCGAAGGCGGCCCCUGGACAAGACUGACGCUCAUGUGCGAAAGCGUGGGGAGCAAAC
rnacentral:rRNA from 1 species